ACCAGGUAACCACGACGAAGGUGUAGUUCUGAGCGUACGCCGUCAGAUUGGACACCAGGCCGGGGGCUGCAGUGAAUGCAUGAAAACACAAGUUUGACUGCACAUGUUUCGUUUUGGAUGGAAAACAGAUGGCAUGGUCCAGGACAGCAGAAUCCCAUUAGAACCAACAGCGUGUCCUCCAAGGGUCAACGGAGGACCGGGAACUACAGAAAAGGAAGCCAGAGUGUGUGAAGUGGUGAACAGCAGCAUCCAGAGUCUGUCAUUAACAAGCCCAGAAGAAGAGCCUGCAGARACCGUCACCGAGUACUGUGUCCCAGGACUAACAUCCACCACGUCAGCCUGUGGAAACAGCAAAACACACCUGGUCCACUGCCGUCUGUGCAAGGACACGUCMUACAGCUGGGGUACCAUUCGGGUUUCAGUAUGUGUUUUCUUCAAUGGUUGUUUUGUGUUCAUCAAAAAUACUAUCUGUAGUGUUGUCUCUACAAACUAGUGCAGUGAAUAAGUAUUUCGCACUUUGUAAUCUUUCACGUUUAAGAUUAUUAAACCAAUUUUGCUAUUAAACAUAUAAUCUGUGUAAGAACAAGAUGCUGUUAUUUAUUUCUUAAAUUAAGUUGUUAAAUCAUGAGUAAUUUAUGAGCAAUUAUUCCACGUUUCUUGGAAAACUUGAGUUUUAUUUUUCUACUGGGCCCUGCUUAGAAAAGUUGAAAACAGAACUACUCGGACCACAUGGACUAGACAAAAACUGUCACAGAAGCAACAGAUAGGAACACAGGGCAAAGAAAUUCAAAAACAGCUAAGAAGCAAACCCAUUAAUCUUCAUCAGUCUGGAACUUGCUACAAAGCAACUUCUAAAGUUUUAAGACCUUAGUGAAGUGCAGUGRGAGGACUGCAACAGGRGAAAACACA